rnacentral:lncRNA from 1 species
UGGGAUUAUUAUUUGGAUAGCUUCAAUAUGGACAAACAAGGUGAAGUCAUGGAGAGCCACCACUUUGAUUGGAUUAGUUCUAACCAUGAAUGACAAAAUCUCCAUUUCAAUAUUUUAUCAUAAAACAAAAUUAAAAUAAAACAAAAGUAAAAAAGCUGGUUGGCUCCUUUAGUAUUCCUACUGCUUUAUAUAUAUGUGUGUGUGUGUGUGUGUGUGUGUGUGUGUGUGUGUGUGUGUGUGUGUGUGUGUAUGCACCUAAAACAUUGUACAUUGGGAACUUAACGGACUUAGCCAGAUAAGGAAGAGGGAGGUGGGAUUAUUAUUUGGAUAGCUUCAAUAUGGACAAACAAGGUGAAGUCAUGGAGAGCCACCACUUUGAUUGGAUUAGUUCUAACCAUGAAUGACAAAAUCUCCAUUUCAAUAUUUUAUCAUAAAACAAAAUUAAAAUAAAACAAAAGUAAAAAAGCUGGUUGGCUCCUUUAGUAUUCCUACUGCUUUAUAUAUAUGUGUGUGUGUGUGUGUGUGUGUGUGUGUGUGUGUGUGUGUGUAUAGAUAUAGGUUGAUACAUAAGUUGCUUUUUCUUCGGACUCGGCUAUGGCCUCUCAUGGUAGCAUCAAAGUUAGCACUACCACCUCCCCAAAAGGUGGCAAGAGUACUACUGAUCCUCACGGCGGCGGUGCCGGUUCACCGAAAGGGCAGUGCCUGUGUUCGCCGACGACUCACCAAGGGUCGUUCCGGUGCAGAUUUCAUCGGACGGCUGCAGGAGGGUCAUCGGCGGCUUGGAUCAUGAAGCGAUCAAACUCCAUGCCUGCCGAUAAAUCAGCAGCGGUGGCUUCUUUUUCUCCCAAGUCAGUUGAGACUUGACCGCGCCUAUUCCAUGUAAGCUAAAGAUUAAUUAAUGGCAGCUAGCUGCUUCUUCAUAUAUAUCUUUCAAAGCUCUGUAAAAAAAAACAAUAUGUAAUAGCUUUGAUACUUGACUUUAUAUGUUUCUGCUUGGGAUUUUCAAUGCUUGAAACUGUUAAAACUCGUUCUUGAUAAUAGCCUAUAGGCAGCCCGCGGCUGGUAUGUAAAAUUAAUUCCUCCCUCUGUUGUUCGUUUGGCUCCUGUAUGUUAAUAAUUCUUGCUUUCAUUAUUAGUCUGUUCCCUUUUUUGUUCUCCGUUUAAUUAAGCUUGUAGAUUGAUGAAUCUGUUAUAUCAGUCUUUUUGACUCUGAAAAAUUAAUACCAAGAGACGAAUAUAGAAUUUUGUUUUUAUUUUUUUUUCUCCCCACUCAAAACAAGUUAGGGCACUAAUCUUUGACCUGAUCAAAUGGUAAUUAAAAAACCGAACGUAUAUAGUUCAUUCUUAUCCACAAAAAUUACACAUAUCGGUCGAGGACAAAAGCAAUAUUGAAGUUUGAUUAUAGUGUCUUCAUUUUUUUUUCAUUUUUUUUUUCUGGACGGUAAUGGAAUGGUUGGAUGAGUUAUGAAUGGCUCUCUCUCAUUUUAGGGUAAAGAACCCAUCAAAGAUUUUUUUUAUGUUAAAAUAAUAAAAUGAGUUGAUCAAGAUUGAAGAACGCUUGAUUUUUUGUUCCAAAGCUAUUCUGAGAUGGUGAUGGGCGCAUGUACGUGACAAUUCAUGAGAGUGUUUCCAUCCAGAAUCCAGAUAGCUACGCGCCUCUUAGGAAUUAAAAUUCAAUAAUUGAGAAUAUUAAUUCAUAAGUUGAUCAUACAAAUCAAAAGAAAAUGACAUCAAUGAAGUGUUUAAGCACCGUGGUGUGGAGUCGUAGUCCAUACCUCGUCCACAAAAAAGAUUUUGCUAUAACAUGACAGUACGCGUAUUAAUAUUGCUAAGCACGUGUAAUUUAAUUAACGUUUGAUUUUGUUUUUGCCAAUAAUAGGAGUCUUUUAAUCUUAGUUUAUCUAAAAGUUGUAUAAGGGUUACAUUUAUAAGCCCGUUUGACCAUUUGAGGUUCCUUAGCAAUAACAAUUUCUUGAAGCAGCGUUGUGAUGGGAUUUGUCUAAAGCGCUGAAACUGAUUUUGAGAGUUAAUUAAGGGAGUGAGUUCAAUUUUCUGCAAUUUCAGAAUUCGAGUUCUCCUUAAAUUAAUCUAUCGAAAAAAUCGUGAGUAAGUUCCUCAUGAAUUCUUUUAUAGUUCGGGCACUCUUAUUUUUUUCACAUUAUUAAAUCAUAAAGUUUAAAUAGAGUCGGUGCAGACAUGUUAUUAGACUGUAUAAUUUUAUAAUAUAUUGAGAAAUGAUUCUCUUAAGAGUGAUGAUACAACCAUAAUCUUUUGUACAUAUUUAUUUUAUACAAACUGAUAUGACAUUAAUUCAUUGGUUGAAUAAAAUUAUAAAAUAAUAUAAAUAAAUCAUGUGGGCUAAAAAAUAUUUAAUUCAAUCAAUGAAUUAACGUCAUAUCAAUUUGUACAAAAUAAGUUUGUACAAGAGUUUGUAACUACAUCAUUACUCUUCUAUUAAACCACACAAUUUAAUUUCGUGUCCACAUUAAAAAAAAAAAAUAGUGCCCGCACUUGAGAAUAAUUAGUGUCCUCCUAUAAAUGGAUGCGGUGAUUUAGGACGGCCGUAAUAAAAAUUAAUAAAUGAAAUCCAUUAAUUCUAAUAUAUUUAUGAUAAUUAAAUAUUAUUAGCAUUGUAACUCUAACUAAAAAAAAUUAUUUAAAAAUAAGAGAUUUUAAAAUGUAUCAAAGAUAAUACAAUUAAUGAGACACAUAUGAUACAUGCCAUUAAAUUUAAUACAAUUACAAUUUUCAUUAUAAUUUUUUAGAAUAAGUAUACAUAAUAGUAUUAGUUAUAUUAUUA